UACGUAGGGUGCAAGCGUUAUCCGGAAUUAUUGGGCGUAAAGAGCUCGUAGGCGGUUUGUCGCGUCUGUCGUGAAAGUCCGGGGCUCAACUCCGGAUCUGCGGUGGGUACGGGCAGACUAGAGUGAUGUAGGGGAGACUGGAAUUCCUGGUGUAGCGGUGGAAUGCGCAGAUAUCAGGAGGAACACCGAUGGCGAAGGCAGGUCUCUGGGCAUUAACUGACGCUGAGGAGCGAAAGUGUGGGGAGCGAACAGG
rnacentral:rRNA from 1 species